AUUGAACGCUAGCGGGAUGCUUUACACAUGCAAGUCGAACGGCAGCACGAGGAGCUUGCUCCUUGGUGGCGAGUGGCGGACGGGUGAGUAAUAUAUCGGAAUGUGCCCAGUAGCGGGGGAUAACUACUCGAAAGAGUGGCUAAUACCGCAUACGCCCUACGGGGGAAAGGGGGGGAAGGUCUUCGGACCUCUCACUAUUGGAGCAGCCGAUAUCAGAUUAGCUAGUUGGUGGGGG
rnacentral:rRNA from 1 species